CCCUUAGAUGUCCUGGGCCGCACGCGCGCUACACUGAUUCAUGCAACAAGUUUUGUCCUUGGCUGAUAGGCCUGGGUAAUCUUUGAACGUGAAUCGUGAUGGGGAUAGAUGAUUGCAAUUAUUCAUCUUCAACGAGGAAUUCCUAGUAAACGCAAGUCAUCAGCUUGCAUUGAUUACGUCCCUGCCCUUUGUACACACCGCCCGUCGCACCUACCGAUUGAAUGGUCCGGUGAAAUCUCGGGACGGCGGCUUGGUCGCUUGCGUCCGACUGCUGAAACUUGAUUAAACCAUAUCAUUUAGAGGAAGGUGAAGUCGUAACA
rnacentral:rRNA from 1 species